rnacentral:rRNA from 1 species
CCUACGUGCGGCAGCAGUGGGGAAUAUUGCACAAUGGGGGAAACCCUGAUGCAGCGACGCCGCGUGAGUGAAGAAGUAUUUCGGUAUGUAAAGCUCUAUCAGCAGGGAAGAAAAUGACGGUACCUGAUUAAGAAGCCCCGGCUAACUACGUGCCAGCAGCCGCGGUAAUACGUAGGGGGCAAGCGUUAUCCGGAUUUACUGGGUGUAAAGGGAGCGUAGACGGCAGCGCAAGUCUGAAGUGAAAUGCCGGGGCUUAACCCCGGAACUGCUUUGGAAACUGUGCAGCUAGAGGGCAGGAGAGGUAAGUGGAAGUCCUAGUGUAGCGGUGAAAUGCGUAGAUAUUAGGAGGAACACCAGUGGCGAAGGCGGCUUACUGGACUGCAACUGACACUGAGGCUCGAAAGUGUGGGUAUCAAACAGGAUUAGAUACCCCGGUAGUC